rnacentral:rRNA from 1 species
CCUACGGGGGGCAGUAGUGAGGAAUAUUGGUCAAUGGGCGGAAGCCUGAACCAGCCAAGUCGCGUGAGGGAUUAAGGCCCUGCGGGUCGUAAACCUCUUUUGCCGGGGAGCAGAGGUCCGGACGUGUCCGGGCCGGGAGAGUACCCGGAGAAAAAGCAUCGGCUAACUCCGUGCCAGCAGCCGCGGUAAUACGGAGGAUGCGAGCGUUAUCCGGAUUUAUUGGGUUUAAAGGGAGCGUAGGCGGAUUGAUAAGUUAGAGGUGAAAUGUCCGAGCUUAACUCGGGAACUGCCUCUAAUACUGUUGAUCUAGAGAGUAGAUGCGGUAGGCGGAAUGUAUGGUGUAGCGGUGAAAUGCUUAGAGAUCAUACAGAACACCGAUUGCGAAGGCAGCUUACUAAACUGUGACUGACAUUGAUGCUCGAAAGUGUGGGUAUCAAACAGGAUUAGAUACCCCUGUAGUC